CCUCGNUUCGGNUCCGAUUUAGCCUGCUAGUUGCACGGGUUUAGACCCGUGGCGAAAAGCUCAGUAACACGUGGCCAAACUACCCUGUGGAUCGGCAUAACCUCGGGAAACUGAGGCCAAUACCGAAUACUGCUCCACCACUGGAAUGUGUGGAGCGAGAAAUGCAUCCGCGCCGCAGGAUGUGGCUGCGGCCGAUUAGGUUGACGGUGGGGUAACGGCCCACCGUGCCCAUAAUCGGUACGGGUUGUGAGAGCAAGAGCCCGGAGACGGAAUCUGAGACAAGAUUCCGGGCCCUACGGGGCGCAGCAGGCGCGAAACCUUUACACUGCACGACAGUGCGAUAAGGGGACUCCGAGUGCGAGGGCAUAGAGCCCUCGCUUUUCUGCACCGUAAGGAGGUGCAGGAAGAAGGGCUGGGCAAGACCGGUGCCAGCCGCCGCGGUAAUACCGGCAGCCCAAGUGAUGGCCGAUAUUAUUGGGCCUAAAGCGUCCGUAGCCGGCCGGACAAGUCCGUUGGGAAAUCCGCACGCUCAACGUGCGGGCGUNCAGCGGAAACUGUCCGGCUUGGGACCGGAAGACCCGAGGGGUACGUUCCGGGGUAGGAGUGAAAUCUGUAAUCCCU
rnacentral:rRNA from 1 species